AUUGAACGCUGGCGGCAGGCCUAACACAUGCAAGUCGAACGAGUGGCGGACGGGUGAGUACUGUCUGGGAAACUGCCCGAUGGAGGGGGAUAACUACUGGAAACGGUAGCUAAUACCGCAUACCAUCGGAUGUGCCCAGAUGGGAUUCUCUUGUAGGUGAGGUAACGGCGCACCUAGGCGACGAUACCUAGCUGGUCUGAUAGGAUGACCAGCCACACGGGAAAUGAGACCCGGUCCAGACUCCUACGGUAGUCAGCAGUGGGGAAUAUUGCACAAGGGGCGCAAUCCUGAUGCAGCCAUGCCGCGUGUAUGAAGAAGGCCUUCGGGUUGUAAAGUACUUUCAGCGUGGAGGCGUUACCCGCAGAAGAAGCACCGGCUAACUCCGUGCCAGCAGCCGCGGUAAUUC
rnacentral:rRNA from 1 species